CGCGUCUUGAACGGAUUGUCACGUUCUCGCAAGACAAAUCUGGGCGACGGUGUAAAAAUAUAUCCAUUAAUCUGCACGUUCACCAUACUAACGUAUCUACAAAGGUCUACUCAUAAGAUGAAGAAACAAACUCAUCUACAUCUUGGAUGACCUGAGGCCCCAGCUUUGCUCUUUGAGAUGAAAACGGCCAGAUCUUCACUUGAGUGUCUAGUUUAAAAUUUUCUAACUUACCAUGGAUGUUCCUGAGGGAUUUUAUCACGCAUUGACUACAAGAGAAUGCAAAUGGCAUACACAGGCAUGAAUCUGGGACAAGAUGGCCAUGACCUGCAGAGGUCUCCUCUCUGAGCCGGGCGUCUGGGGAUUCAGAAUUCUCCACAGCUGAAGCUUAAUUAGCCCAACUCUGUUGCCUGGAGAAGUGUUCAGCGCUUGACCUUUCCUAAAGGUAAGCGACCGGCGCGUGUUCAACAGGCCACAGGAAAAUGAGCAGCACCAAGGAGGUUUCUGACAAGCCCAACUAGGAGGGGAGGUGGAGAUGGUGAAGGCAUUUGAGUUGGCGCCCAGACAGUGUCUCGUCUAAAGAUACCCUGAGAAACAUGCGAUGCCAAAGGGAAGUUUAUCUGUGUUUCUGCUGCUGAUCAUUAAAAAGAGACUGAGCUGAAUGCACAGCAGGUUUUGUGUUUAUCAGAAGUGGGUUU